UCACGUUCCAAACGUUUAUCAACCAACGCGAAAACUCAAACCAUUAUUCGAUUAAUUUUUCUACUAACAAAUUCAUUUUUGUUGGUUGGAAAGAAUAAUUGAAUCUUGAUUUACCAUCAAAACCUUUUUAAUUUAAUUACUGAAAUUGUUUUCAUUCUCUUUUAAUUAAGAGAAGAAAAUCAAAAAAAUUACGAAACAAAGAA
rnacentral:misc_RNA from 1 species